UACAGAGGUCUCAAGCGUUGUUCGGAUUCAUUGGGCGUAAAGGGUGUGUAGGUGGCGCCGUAAGUCGGGUGUGAAAUUUCGGAGCUUAACUCCGAAACUGCAUUCGAUACUGCCGUGCUUGGGGACUGGAGAGGAGACUGGAAUUUACGGUGUAGCGGUGAAAUGCGUAGAUAUCGUAAGGAAGACCAGUGGCGAAGGCGGGUCUCUGGACAGUUCCUGACGCUGAAGCACGAAGGCCAGGGGAGCAAACGGG
rnacentral:rRNA from 1 species